rnacentral:rRNA from 1 species
UACGAAGGGGGGCUAGCGUUGCUCGGAAUUACUGGGCGUAAAGCGCACGUAGGCGGAUUGUUAAGUCGGGGGUGAAAUCCUGGAGCUCAACUCCAGAACUGCCUUCGAUACUGGCGAUCUCGAGUUCGGGAGAGGUGAGUGGAACUGCGAGUGUAGAGGUGAAAUUCGUAGAUAUUCGCAAGAACACCAGUGGCGAAGGCGGCUCACUGGCCCGGUACUGACGCUGAGGUGCGAAAGCGUGGGGAGCAAACAGG